AGAGGGAAUACGUGUGGCAUUUGUCUUUCUGGGUCUAGGUUACCUCUCUCAAUAUGAUCUUAUUUAGUUCUGCCCAUUUUCCUACAAAUUACAUGAUCUCAUUUUCCUUCGCAGCUGAAUAGAAUUCCGUAGAGUAAAUGCGCCACGCUUUCAUCAUCCAUUCAUCAGUUGAAGGACGUUUAGGUUGAUUCUGUUUCCUAGCCGUUGUGAGUAGAGCAGCAGUGGACAUGGCUGAGCAAGAGUCUGCGGUGUAGGAUGGCAGGUCCUCUGGGCAGAUGCCAAGGAGCGGUAUAGCUGGGUAAUGUGAUAGAUUUAUUUUUAUCGUUAUGAGACUUCUUCUCACCGAGUUCCAGAGUGGCUGGACCAGUUUGCAGUCUCGCUAACAGUGGAUAAGUGUUUCCUUUUCCCCAUAUCUUUGCCAACAUUUGUUCUCAGUUAACCACACUUUUUUCUUUAUGGCUGAAAAAAAUUCUAUGUGUAUAUAUGUUAUAUUUUCUUUAUUCAUUCCUCUGCUGUUGGGCACCUGGGUUGGUUCUAUAAUGUAGUGCUGGAAUAAAUAUUGACAUGCCAGUAUCUCUGUGACAUGCUGAAUCGGAAUCCAUUGGAUCAAUACCCAGAGGUAGGAUAUCUGUGCCAUACAGCAGAUCUAUGUUUAGCUUUUGCAAAAAUUACAUAUUAGUUUUCAUAGUGCCUGAGCUGAUUUCCGUUCUCCCAGCAGUAUAAGGAUUGCAUUCUGUCUACAUCCUGGUCAGCACUUGCCUGAUCACAUGGUUUCUCCCCCCCUCCAUUCCCCCUCCACCUGUAGGGUUCCAUGAAUUCCAGGAUGGUCUCAAACUUGCUGUGUAGUGGCUGCUGACCUCGAACUUUCGCUGCCCCUUGUUAACGCCGCCUGAGUGCUGGGAAUAUAGGUGUGCACCAUCACGCCUGGGUUUGUGCAGAGCUAGGGAUUGACCUCAGGGCUUUGUCCUUAUUAUUAAGUACUCUCCCAACUGUGCUGCAUGCCCAGCCCCACCCUAUAUCCUUAGUGACUGCCAUUAUGUCUGAAGUGAUCUAAAGGUUUGAUAUAGUUCUGGUCUGUAUUUCUCUGGUGUUAGUGAGGUUCUCAUAUGUUUAUAGGCUAUUUGUAAUUGGUCUUUUGAGAACUGUCCGUUCAUUUCAUUAGCCUAUUCAUUGAUUGGAUUGUUUGAUUUCUUGCUUAGUUUGAGUUCUUUGUAUCAUUUAGAUAUUAUUCCUCUGUCAGAUAUAAUAGCUAGGAACUGUUUGUCCCUCAUUCAGUAGGCUGUCUCUUCAUUCCAUUAAUUACAUUUAGAACAACUUUACAAAAUACUAAAUUAAUUAUAUAUAAUAAUGAGUAUCAUUAUGACCUUUGUACACACGUUCAUAAUGUAUUUCAGUUGUAUGGUAACAACUUUAUUCUUUUCUGUUUGGAGCAGUCUUUCAUUGUUAAUGUUUACUCUGAACAACAGUGAGUUGGAAUAAUAGGUCUUCUAGUAAAAUAUGAAACAUGUGUGUUAAAAGAUUUCCAUUCUGUUAGGAGACAUCAGUGUUUUGAUGUUACACAUGACGAGUGGCCACUACCAUCAUAUGCAUCAAAACAUAAAAAUUCACCAAAAUCUUGUGAGAAGAAAUAAAAACUUUGAAAUGUUAUUUUGUAUGGAGCCACAACUUUAAUCAACAAGUAAGAAUUAUAAUCAGUGAGAAGCUUUAUCAAGAUCUGUAUAUAUUAACCACAAAACAGGUUUUUAAAACUCACGUAAAUACCAUGUAAUCCAGCAUCAAACACUUAAAGAAAAAAAAACUAGCAAAAUAUAUCUAAGACUACUUCAGAAAUUGUAUUGUUAAGAAAAUUAAAGAAGACAUAAAUAAUUGAGAAUUAUAUUCUGUUUAUAGAUUAGAGACUAAUAUUAUAAAGAGACAUAUUCUUCCUAAAUUGAUCCUUAUUAUUAAUUUAGUUAUAAUGAAAUUCCAGCACAAAAUUCUGUGGAACUACGAAAGCCAUAGUAGCAUUUGGAAAUGAGUCUUUUAAGAGAGAAGCAGGGUGGUGGGUUGAGGUCCUGGAGGUGAAGUUCUUAUUGUGGGAUUAGGAUCCCUCAGUAGAAACUGAAAACUGUGUCUGUCUCAAGAUAAUGCAAAGGUUCUUAAGUUGUGCACUUAGAACACUUAUAAUAAAAAGAGAUUGCUUUGACAGAUGUUUAAAAUAAAAUUUUCUGUUGGGUGUGGUGGCACAUGCCUUUAAUCCCAGCACUUGGGAGGCAGAGGCAGGCAGAUUUCUGAAUUCGAGGCCAGCCUGGUCUACAGAGUGAGUUCCAGGAUAGCCAGGGCUACACAGAGAAACCCUGUCUCAAAAAACCAAAACCAAACCAAACCAAAUAAAUGAAUUUUUCUGUUGAUUAAAAGAUACCCUUAGC
rnacentral:lncRNA from 1 species